rnacentral:rRNA from 1 species
UGGGGGAUAUUGCACAAUGGGCGAAAGCCUGAUGCAGCGACGCCGCGUGGGGGAUGAAGGCCUUCGGGUUGUAAACUUCUUUUGCUCUGAACAAGGCAUGCCUUUGGGGUGUGUUGAGUGUAGGGGUUGAUUAGCGCCGGCUAACUACGUGCCAGCAGCCGCGGUAAUACGUAGGGCGCGAGCGUUGUCCGGAAUUAUUGGGCGUAAAGAGCUUGUAGGCGGUUUGUCGCGUCGAUAGUGCAAACUCAGUGCUUAACGCUGAGCCUGCUGUUGAUACGGGCAGACUAGAGGAAGGUAGGGGAGAAUGGAAUUCCCGGUGGAGCGGUGGAAUGCGCAGAUAUCGGGAGGAACACCGGUGGCGAAGGCGGUUCUCUGGGCCUUUCCUGACGCUGAGAAGCGAAAGCGUGGGGAGCGAACAGG